rnacentral:lncRNA from 1 species
CUAUGACACUUUCAUUAUGGAAAAAGUGUCGAAGUAUGCAGGGGACAGUCGAUAUUCAAUGAAAAAUCUGUUUUCUGAGGUCGGUCUAGUCUUGAACAAUCCAUUUGUUUACCAACCUGUCAAGUACUUGUAUGCUACCUCCAAAAUUGACGUCCCAGAAAGUUUUAUUUUAAAGCCAUUAUCAAGGGAUGCCUGGAAUAGGGAAUCGAAUUGGAUUGGAUACAUAGCAGUAGCCACCGAUCAGGGAAAGCAGGCUUUAGGCAGGAGGGAUAUAACAAUUGCAUGGAGAGGAACAAUCCAGCCUCUUGAAUGGAUUAAAGAUUUUGAUUUUCCACUGACGUCUGCUUCUGAUAUUGUCGGAGUAGAAAAAGAUGCUCAAGUUCAUCAAGGAUUUCUUUCAAUUUAUACAUCGGACAAUCCCCAGUCACAGUUUAACAAAACUAGUGUCAGGGAGCAGGUAACGGUAGCUGAAUACCCAUACUCAAAAUUGCAUAUAAACAAACAUCUGAAAUAAACUAAACCUAAUUCUAUGUCUACUGUCAGAUUUUCGAGACACUGAAGGAGCUGGUGGAUAAGUAUGAGAAUGAGGACAUCAGCGUGACUGUAACAGGGCACAGUUUAGGUGCAGCACUUGCAACUCUUAGCGCAGUUGAUAUUGUAGCCAAUGGGUUGAACAGGAGCGAUGAUCAAGCCAGCAAGGCCUGUCCUGUCACAGCCUUUGUCUUCGCCUGCCCACGCACGGGGGAUCUAGCAUUUAGAGAAGUCUCCGAUUCCUUCAGUGAUCUUCGUAUCCUCCGGGUGACAAAUACUCCUGAUAUAAUACCCAAAGUUCCACCAUUAGCGAUAGGUUAUAGAGACGUUGGACAAAAUCUAGAACUCGACAGCCGAAAAUCUACGUACCUGAAGCCUACAGGAGCAUUCAUAACUUGGCAUAAUUUGGAGGCAUAUAUGCAUUGUAUUGCAGGAACACAAGGGGGAAAACCCGAUUUUCAUUUAGAAGUGAACAGAGAUAUUGCAUUAGUGAAUAAGAAAUUGAAUAGUUUGAAGGAUAUAUAUUUGGUGCCCAGCGCUUGGUGGCAAGAGAAACACAAAGGGAUGGUUCAACAGGAGGAUGGCUCUUGGAAGCUAGAUGAUCAUGAAGAUGAUGCUUAAGAUGCCUACUAUGCUAAAAAGGAGCACCACCUUAGAUAUCUAAAAAUUGGAUUUUUCUUUUUUAAAAGAAUCUUACGAAUCAUGCAUGUUUGGUUACUGAUUAAUAACUAUGAGAAAGACAAUGUGGUGUUAAUAUUUUCUUAUAUAUUGUAAUAAAAUUGAUGCUGGGGUACAGUGUUUAUAUAACUUUCUGUGAAAUAAUUUUGGAUUAAGUUGCUAAUCCUGUGCUGAUACUGUCUGUAUAUAGCUUGAAUCAAAUUUUAGAUCUCUUUUCUUUAUUUUCUGUAGUGUAAAGGAUAUACUACUUUUCCAUUUCAAAAGAUAAUCCUUUUGCUCUCUUUGGAUUGUUGAGAAUCUUAAUUCUUUUAUUUUUGCUAAUUUUAGUUAAUCUUAUUCAUGCUGUAAAUCUUUCUUUCUCCUUUUCUUUUCUAAUUCUCAGAUCAUUCUUCUGUUUGAUAAAAGGUUAGAGGUGAGGAUAUGAUCCGAGAAGAGAAAUUCAACUGUUGACCAAACAAAUAUGUCUAGCUAACAAUCUUUUCUAGAAAUAAUCUAGUCAUUUGACGGAAUUACGAUUCUUCGAGUGAAAAUGACACAAAGUGUUAAUAUUAAUUUGCUCGACAUAUUGUUACAACCUGAUUAAGCAAAGCUAAGCUUGGAAAGAAUGUUACUGAAGCAAUGAUGCGAGAUUUCAUUAAAGGCUGAAACUUGAAGCUUGCUUGGAAGCUUGUCGCAGAUGUCUGGGCAUGAUAAAAGAAUGUUAGACCCUAGUGUGCACCCAGAGUUGAGCUUGGAAAGAAUCCGGAUCAAUUCAUGCUUACUGGACGGUUAUUAGAUGAGCUUGGAGAACAGAUGAUUUAAAUUUUUAGCCAUCAGGAUUGCACUGCUGCAGUGAAAGCUCGCAUCAGACUUCAAAUGAACAAGUCUUUCCUUUUGUCCUAUAAUCAAGGCCAAUGACACCUUUUUCUUUCUCAUGGGAACAGUUGUUCUUUUCCGAAUUCUUUCUGUUUUCGGUUCUACUUUCUCUAAUCUUCAGUGGCUCUCUUCUCCUGAAUGUUAUAAAGUUUCACUCUCCGGUCUACCGCAAAUUCUCUAGAAGGAAUAUUGUGAUUUUGGUAACGGAUGAUUUGUUUUCAACCUGAUACUGCACAUACGUACAAGCACAUGUUUAUGCUGAUAUAGAUUUUGCUUGGGAAAGGUAAAGAAAACAUGCAUCUGUUUAAUAAUUUUCUUUUUAAUUACAAGAUAUAAUUUUUUUCUUGACAAAUUAAUAUGGUUUAGUCAGUUAUUAUCGUUAUAUCAUUAAUUUACGGAUGUGGAGCUUAUAAAAUAAAAAAGAAAAUAUAUCAUAUUAAUAAUAAUAACUUAUAUUAUCCGAGUCCACGCCAUGUUGACACUAUAACAAUAAAACUUAGUGGUAAUAUACUUAAUUGUUAAUGGGCAAAACUAUGUGUUAAGAAAAGAAAUCAGACACUUUAGAUUGAGAGACAGUCAGACUACAUAGACAUGUAUGGUUCUUUCGUAAUUUCCCAUGAUUAUAAUUCACUUUAUGAUCUUCCCAGGCAACCUGCUUUUCUCAGCUCGAACUGUGUCUCUCAUUAGUAUUUCAGCAUCUCUUCUUCACCAUAAUUAUCAAGCUGCUCCUUGAAUCUCAGUUUCAAGCGCUGCAUCUAAAUAGAUCAAUUGAAUGUUUUAUAAUUGAAGUUGUUUACCAAAAUUCAGAAAAGAAAUUAAGUCUAACCUUAGGCCCGGAGGAGUCAAGCUUUGCAUUUGAGAGAACAUGAAUGCCAAGAGAAACCCCUUGAAGGACAACAGGUUCUCCUUUUGGCCUGUUGGAGAUAUAGACCAUGCUUUUUGAUGAUAUGUCGGCCAAUAUAGGUUAAACCCAUUGUACUGAUGAGCCUCUUUCAACAGCAUUUCUGCAAAUUGCUUCGGACUUUUUGCGCUCUGUAUGAUGCAGAAAAAGAAAAAUUUCGAUUUUCUAUUCAUAACAGUAGACAAUUUGUGAGGCAAAAUACAUCUAUUCCUGUUUAAUUUGUCACCUCCAAGAAAAGGACUGGAAGUUCCCUCUGCUCUUUGCCUCAGGUAGAGCAUGAAGCUCCAAAACAUUUGUGAGGAAAGCAACUCUGCCUGCCCUUGAACAUCCCAACCAUGUUCCCCCUGCUACAGCAUCUCUUCCACCCAGUACAUCACAGCCAUUCCACCAUGCCACUGGUUCUGUUGGCCUACACAAAUGUGUAUAUACACACACACACACAGCCAGUUAGUUACUACACCCGCGCCAGCACAUCACAGGAAAAGUUGAAACGAGGCAUAAAUCUCAUAAAAUACAGAACUUGCCUGUUGUGAUAUUCAUCUCUAUUAUGCAAGAGAAGCAGAGGCUAGAGAGGUUGAGCUUGCCAAACGAACGCAGCUAUGCACAUAGCUUAGCACAAUCAAUUGGACGUUUAGGAGUUACAAUAUCACUAAACAUGGCAGAAUUACACUUACACAAAAUGGAUGACUGUAAACAGGAGAAAAUUAGAAACUAAGACUUUUGUCUCUUUGUUUCCUAAGCAAAAACCAGUGGGGCAAAGGUUGUCCUAGAAUGCGUGCAUGCACUAAAAUUUGUUUGAAAUUGUUGUUAAGAAAAAUUACUUUUUAAUUUUUGAUUUAAUCCACUAUUUUUUAUAAGUUAUUUUUAUAAAAUAUACUAUAAAUAUUAAAAUCGUUUUAUAGGAAGGAACGUAAAAUAUUGAAUUUGAUUAUUCCCUUAAUUAAAUUAUAUUUCUAUUGUAUGUAUUCAUUUAUUACUCUUCAAAUUAUAUAUAAGUUCUUAAAUAAAAAAAAUGUAGUUUCGAUUUUUUUUAUUAAUAAUAUAGAAAUUUUUUUUAUAUAGUUGUACAUUUGGAAUCAAAUAAAAUUUAUGAUUAUAAAGAGAUUAUAAUUUAUUAAAGCUUUGAGUAUUAAGAUUUUUCUUUGACUUAAUAGUGAAUAUUGUUGGUGAAAUGAUAGCAAUUAGAUAUGAGAUAUAUUAAUAUCUUAUCAUAUUAUAUAAAAAAAUGGAAAUCAAUACUGUAAGACAAAAUAUAUCAUAAUAUUUAUUUUUAAAAAAAUAUAAAUACAAAUAUUAUUAUGUUGAAAAAUUUGUUUAAAAUAAAAUUUAAAAAAUUUAUAAUAUAUAUACACGCUUUAUUUUUCUGAAGGUGCAAAAAAAGAAAAAAAAAUUUAUUAAUUAAAUUAAAAUUCUGAAACUCAUGUAAUUAUAGUAUAAAAUUUAUAUCUAUUUACAACCGGUCCAAUUUGAAACUGAAAUUUUUAAUUAUUAUAUAGAUGUUAUUUCUAUAUAGAGUAUCGUUGUAGAGAAAUUUUAUUAUAUAUUUAAAAUUAAAAUAUGCACAAUAGAAGAGUUCUAUCCACGAUUAUUGCAGUAUAUUUAUGGCAGCUCCAUCUUGUUCAGGUGAUUACUGUGCUUUGGCUGAAAUGGAAGGGCUCCUGGUGACCUGUGUGGUUCAUAAAGGUUUAAGACUUGCCUUUGAUUACGAUAUAACUGGUGUCCUUGUGAAGUGUGUGUGAUGCUGCUGGAGUUAUGACAUGGUCAGAGUUUGGCCUUCUAAUAGCUGAUACCCACAUGCUUGCUAGUUAUGUUCAAGUUGUGGAACUUUUAGCCAUUAGUCGUAGUUGUAAUUUUUACUCGUAAUCUUCCAUUGUAUCGGCUUUCUUUAGAUGCUGAGAGUGUCUGGAUCCAGGACGAAAUCCCUGUAUAACUUCGUAACCUUAACUGGCCCAAAACCCCCCAAGAUGCCUAACCUUAUCUUAAAUAGGCCUGGUCUGACAUCUCAUGCCUUCACAUGGUUCUGAACUAAAUUAUUGUAUGUGAGAAACAAGAGGAUAUCUAGAUACAAACAGUUUAAUUUUACUUGUAGCAGAACCAGAACAAUACAACACCAUUUAUUUUUGUCUUUUUUUUUGAGGGUGUGAUUAAACAAGGACAUUAGGACAUUAGUGUGUUGACUUCAUAAUAACGCUUGGUAGUUUGCUGAUGAUAAUGUUGCUGCUUUCUCACCAUAUCAUAUGCAGCAAUUAUAUUUAAGUAGAUGGUUAUAAAUUUCAGACUCAGUUUAGCAUGUUGCAGAAAUGAAGGCGCGAAUAAUGCAUGAACUGGAUCAUCGUAUGAUGAGCACACUGCCUAUAUCAUAAUCGAAUUCCAAGAACUCUGCCUAACCAAACUACUUCAACUAGCCUUUCCUUUUGGCAAUUUCCUUGUCUGAUGAUAUAGCUCUAACCGCCGCGGAUAUUGAGGGAGGCUUAAAAUGCAUGAUAGCAACGAAGGCAGAAAAUUGUGAAGUGUGCAAUUUCUAAUGGAUUCUAUUUAAACUAAUAGUAAUAAUGAGUAUUAAUCGGCUUAAAACAUCAAAAGACAGGUUUACCUGUGGAAAUGUCUGGAGGAAACAUAGCCAGAAGAUGGAGGCAGCUUAGCGGGCAACAAAAGUGGCAGGGCCUCCUUGAGCCUCUAGACAAUGAUCUCCGUCAAUACCUCAUCCACUAUGGUGAUUUGGCUCAAGCUACAUAUGACAAUUUCAUUAUGCAGAAGUAUUCACAGUUUGCAGGGGACAAUAGAUUUUCAAUGAAAAAUUUGUUUUCCCGGGUUGGUCUAGGCAUGCGGAACAAUCAAUUUGUUUAUAAACCUGUCAAGUACUUAUAUGCAACCUCCAAAGUUGAUGUCCCACAAAGUUUCAUUAUGAGUCCAGCAUCCACAUCAAGGGCUGUGCCGAAUGGAGAAUCGAAUUGGAUCGGAUACAUAGCAGUAGCUACCG